GGUACCAGGUAGUUGAGGUAAUAAUGAGACUAUAAGGAGUACCAGUACUGAGUCAAUGUGCAGGGGUACCAGGUAGUUGAGGUAAUAAUGAGACUAUAAGGAGUAACAGUACUGAGUCAAUGUGCAGGGGUACCAGGUAGUUGAGGUAAUAAUGAGACUAUAAGGAGUACCAGUACUGAGUCAAUGUGCAGGGGUACCAGGUAGUUGAGGUAAUAAUGAGACUAUAAGGAGUACCAGUACUGAGUCAAUGUGCAGGGGUACCAGGUAGUUGAGGUAAUAAUGAGACUAUAAGGAGUACCAGUACUGAGUCAAUGUGCAGGGGUACCAGGUAGUUGAGGUAAUUGAGGUAAUAUGUACAGGUAAGUAGGGGUAAAAGUGACUAGGCAAUCAGGAUAGAGAUUACAUGUCCUCAUCCAGGGAGAGCGCACACACACACACACACACACACACACACACACACACACACACACACACACACACACACACACACACACACACACACACACACACACACACACACACACACACACACACACACACACACACGUGGAGGGAACGUUGUGUUUGUUUAAUAUUGUUUUAGGUCUAUGAAAAUGGACUAAAGGAUUAGCCUGUGGAUUAUGAAAACAACCAAAAGAAAUGUGAAAAUGGGAGAGGAGAAAUGACUAGAGACAGUGUUGUUUAACUCACUGACCAUGACCCAUGAGUUCUUCUUACCUUUGUUCAGUAGAAAAGUCUCCCUCUCUAAACACUAUAGGAUGACCCAUAUACCAGUCACUCUUCAUGGACACACAGCUGGGAACAGGGGAGGCUGGUCUCUCCUGCUUGAUUGGACUUCAACACAACAGAGACAAACAUUACAUCUCUCAUCUACUCAUUUUCAGAAAUGUUCAUAAAUUAGAUUUUAUUGUUUAAGUGUGUUUUUUCACUAUCUAAUCAUGGCAUCGGAUUGUUCAACGACAGACAUGUAUUUGUUUAAAAUCUAUCACUUGAUGGUUUCAUUUCAGAGAGACAAUGUUUUUUUGCAAAAUGUUAUAUAUCUGCCUUUCUCUCAAAUGAACGGCUCGGUCUUAUGUAGCAAAAUUUGAAAUUGUGUUUUUCACAUUUGAUAAUAGUAGAGCCUCAGAGCUAGAACAUGGUAUAUCAUACACUACAGUUGAGGAACAGUGGAAAAGUGUUUCUGCUUUGGAAGAUGAUAUACUUGUAACCUCACUUUGAGAAAAUGGCCUUUUAAUGUUUUGGUACCUGCUGGAGAGCUCUUUUUGGUCUACAUUAUUUUGCAUGUACAUGUUUUUGCAUUUUGCAUCUACAUGUUAUUUUGGCAGAUAAUGUCACCCAUCUAAAUAAAUAGUUUUAUAUAUAUAAUUAACUAAAUGUGUGAUGUUUAUGGUUAACUUGUUAUGGAUAGGGGGCAGUAUUUUCACGGCCGGAUAAAAAACGUACCCGAUUUAAUCUGAUUAUUACUCCUGCCCAGAAACUAGAAUAUGCAUAUAAUUAUUAGCUUUGGAUAGAAAACACUCCAACGUUUCUAAAACUGUUUGAAUGGUU
rnacentral:lncRNA from 1 species